UCAAUGUAAUAAUGUGUAAUUUCAUUCCUUUGUAGGACCGCAUCUAAACAUGUAAACAAGGACCUUGGUAAUCUGGAGGAAAAUAAAAAGUUAGAAGAAAACAAUCACAAAACAGAAGCCUAAGAGACAAGCUGUUUUCAUUGUUGUCCAGAGAAAAAACUAUAUAGGCCAAAUGAAGCAUGAACGUGGAUUGUAUUUAAGACAUAUACAAAGACAUUGACAGCAAUUCAUGGUUCAAAUAUUAAGCAGUUCAUUCUACCAAGCUGUCACAGGAUUUCAGAGAAUUAUCUCAAGUCAAACAAUGAAAUGAAAUUGCAAACAAUAACAAGUUUUGGCAGCCAUGAUGAUAGGUCCAUGUUGUAUUUGGUUUGAUUUUUUUUUUCUGUAAAUGUCUGCACUGAGGAUUUUCUUUGGGUUUGCCUUUUCUGUAAAUUUUUUACGUAGCUAUUUUUAUACACUGUAAGCUUUGUUCUGGGAGUUGCUGUUAAUCUGAUAUAUAAUGUAAUGUUUUUAUUUCACUUGUUUAUAUGGAUAAUCUGAGCAGGUACAUUUCUGAUUCUGAUUGCUAUCAGUAAUGCCCCCAAACUUUUUCACAAGCACCUAAAUCCCAAAGGUGGCAGCUUGUGAAGACUGGGGACACAAACAUUGCCCUAUUCCAAAACCGUGAUUGUUAUCACAAAAGGGGGAGGCAGAGAGUCGGAUUGAUAAAUGCCAGAUGAGCUGAUUCUGUGAAUGCACCACCCGCUGCCUCUCAGAAGCAAAUCACACAUGCGAAUAGACAUAUAUACAUAAUGACAGUACUCCCAAACUACAUGUUUGCCUAUACUGAAAACAAUGUAACAGAAUUUGGGUAACACUUACCUUUAGAUACUCCUGCUAGUAAAUUAUUUUCUGUCAAAAAAAAAAAAAAACCCUAUGUGUGAGAGACAGUACAGUUUGGAAAAAAUCAUGGAUUACAUUUCCAUUUUCAUAGAUCACAAUGUAAAUCACUGUAUUUAAAAAUUAUUGUUAAAUCCUUUGGGUUAUCCACUGCCUUAAAAUUAUACCUAUUUCCUUUUUAAAAAGAUAUCAGUCAGAAUUGGAGAUUUUUAACAGUGGUCAUUAUCAAAGCUGUGUUAUUUUCCACAGAAUAUAGAAUAUAUAUAUUUUUUCGUGUGUGUUUUUGUUAACUACGCUACAGAUAUUGAAUGCACUUGAGAUAAUUUAGUGUUUUUAACUGAUACAUAAUUUAUCAAGCAGUACAUAAAAGUGUAAUAAUAAAAUGUCUAUGUAUCUUUAGUUACAUUCAAAUUUGUAACUUUAUAAACGUGUUUUAUGCUUGAGGAACUUUUUAGAGUGGUAGUAUAAAUGGCAACUUUUUGAAGUAGACUGGAUAUGGGCCAAUAGCUACUUGUGAAUAGACUUUUAAACUUUGUUCUUUCAAGCAGAAGCCUGGAUUCUGGGAGAAUACUGCACAGCCAUUUUUGUCCCAGGAUUUACAUAACUUUAUAGAAAAAGAAAAUGAACAUCAGAUUUCCAGGUAUAAAACUGUGUUCUUUGGGAGGAAGAGGAAAACUGGUAUUUGUUUUUUAGACUGUUGAAGUAAAAAUUAUGAAGGUGAUGAAAAAUAAAUUGAAGAUUAAAGUGAGAGGGAGAUUAGGGAGAAUAUUUUGCCACUUCUGCAUUAUUUAGAAACACAUGUUAUUGUACAUUUGUAAACCAUUCACUGCCUGGGCCGUAGUGACUCAGUUUAAUGAAAGCUUCCUGUAGUGGAUUGGUAGGGAUUAAAUACACGUAAUAUCCUAUUAGACUCGAAGCUGUGUAAAAUACUAUGGGAAAAAAGAAAAUAUGUUAUUUUGCCUCUAAACUUUGAUUUACUGAAGUUUUAUUUGGUAGGGAGAAAAUUGAAUUUUGGUCUAUAUUUAAACCAAAGUGAAAGGGGAAAAACCAAAGUUAUUUGUUUUGCAUGGCCAAGCCAUCCUGUUAUCUCUGUAAAUACUGUGAUUUCUCUUUUUCCUUUUCUUUUUUAGAAUUUUGUUAAAGAAAUUCUAAAAAUUUUAAACACCUGCUUCCAUAAUAAACCAUGAACACUAAAAUGAUAUCACUUCCAUAUAAAUACUUUUCUUUUGGUGUGAGAGAUCAAGGGUCAGUCUAUCUCCUAAGCUGUGAUUGCAGGAGGGAGCAGUGCGACAGUGGAAAGAGGGGGUAUACUGUGAUUAUUUAUUGGCUUUCACUUGCUGUGGUAAAGUAAGUCCAAAAGCAGCUGUCGUAACCUAGAGAGCAGAACAUUCACAACGCAGAGCAUGGACAGAAAGCAGAAAGUUGGCCGGGCAAGGCUGGACAGUGUGAGGACAACCGAAUCAGGGCCUGGAUGAAAGGGAAAGCUUCUUUGUGUGACAGCAGUGGCGGAGCGUACACAGCGAGGCCAGGGAGGAAGGUCGUGCACUGUCCUCGACUUCCAAGGCGGCUUCUCUUCAAUUUAAUCCUUUGGCCACAAGAGGCAGGUUUCGCCAGUUCAAGUUUCACUUCCAAUCUUUGAUUACAGGAAUUGUAUGUGGAAAUGGAUUAACAUACCCAUCUAUGCCUAAAAGAUAAUAAAACUGAAAUAUGUCUUCACAUA